GCCUGGUUGGCUCAGUGGGUUAAGCAUCCAAUUCUUGGUUUCAGAUGAAACUCCUGGGUUGUGGGAUCAAGCCCCACAUUAGGCU
rnacentral:tRNA from 1 species